GCAGCUGUGGCGGAAUCGGCAGACGCGCUACUUUGAGGGGGUAGUGAGAACACUCUCGUAUGGGUUCAAGUCCCAUCAGCUGCACCA
rnacentral:tRNA from 1 species